rnacentral:rRNA from 1 species
UACGGAGGGUGCAAGCGUUAAUCGGAAUUACUGGGCGUAAAGCGCACGCAGGUGGCUGAGUCAGUCGAUUGUGAAAGCCCUGGGCUUAACCUGGGAAUUGCAGUCGAUACUACUCAGCUAGAGUAUGGGAGGGGGCAGUGGAAUUCCCGGUGUAGCGGUGAAAUGCGUAGAUAUCGGGAGGAACAUCAGUGGCGAAGGCGGCUGCCUGGCCCAAUACUGACACUCAGGUGCGACAGCGUGGGGGAGCAAACAGGG